rnacentral:tRNA from 1 species
CGCGCUGCUGGGCGAGGAGCCCGCGCAGGGCGGUCUCGACGCCGUGGAAGGACGAGAUCGGCAUCAGGCCCGCAGGUCCAGCCCGUGGCGGUGCGG